rnacentral:rRNA from 1 species
CCAUAUCAAUAAGCGGAGGAAAAGAAACCAACAGGGAUUGCCUCAGUAACGGCGAGUGAAGCGGCAACAGCUCAAAUUUGAAAUCUGGCCCUAGGCCCGAGUUGUAAUUUGCAGAGGAUGCUUUUGGUGCGGUGCCUUCCAAGUUCCCUAGAACGGGACGCCAGAGAGGGUGAGAGCCCCGUACAGUUGGACACCAAGCCUUUGUAAAGCUCCUUCGACGAGUCGAGUAGUUUGGGAAUGCUGCUCAAAAUGGGAGGUAUAUUUCUUCUAAAGCUAAAUACCGGCCAGAGACCGAUAGCGCACAAGUAGAGUGAUCGAAAGAUGAAAAGCACUUUGAAAAGAGGGUUAAACAGCACGUGAAAUUGUUAAAAGGGAAGCGCUUGUGACCAGACUUGCGUCCGGUGAAUCACCCAGCUCUCGCGGCUGGGGCACUUCGCCGGCUCAGGCCAGCAUCAGCUCGCUGUCGGGGACAAAAGCUUCAGGAACGUAGCUCUCUUCGGGGAGUGUUAUAGCCUGUUGCACAAUACCCUUCGGCGGGCUGAGGUACGCGCUCCGCAAGGAUGCUGGCAUAAUGGUCAUCAGCGACCCGUCUUGAAACACGGACCAAGGAGUCAACCUUAUGUGCGAGUGUUCGGGUGUCAAACCCCUACGCGUAAUGAAAGUGAACGCAGGUGAGAGCUUCGGCGCAUCAUCGACCGAUCCUGAUGUUCUCGGAUGGAUUUGAGUAAGAGCAUAUAGGGUUGGACCCGAAAGAAGGUGAACUAUGCGUGUAUAGGGUGAAGCCAGAGGAAACUCUGGUGGAGGCUCGCAGCGGUUCUGACGUGCAAAUCGAUCGUCAAAUAUGCGCAUGGGGGCGAAAGACUAAUCGAACCUUCUAGUAGCUGGUUUCCGCCGA